AGGCUUGUUUGAAUGGUUUGACGUGAUAAAGUGAAUAUUUAUUAUUUACUUGAAAUUAUUGUUGAGGGCACAGAAUCCUCAGUUAUGAAUUAGACGGAAAGACCCCGGGAUCUUUUAAUUUUGCUUGGGGCAGGUUUUAGUGUUUUACUAAUAUUGCGACCCUUAAGGUUUAAUGGGUAAGUUACCCCGGGGAUAACAGUGUAAUAAUUAAUGAGAGAUCGUAUCGAAUUAAUUGUUUGCUACCUCGAUGUUGACUUAGGUAAAAUUAUUGGCGCAGUUGUUUAUAGUUUGGGUCUGUUCGACCUUUAUUACCUCCAUGAGUUGAGUUAAGACCGGCGUGAGCCAGGUCGGUUCUUAUCUAUUGAGGAGUUUUACUAGUACGAAAGGACCGUAAAUCUUUUUAUUG
rnacentral:rRNA from 1 species